rnacentral:rRNA from 1 species
GGCCUAAUACAUGCAAGUCGAGCGGCAAGUCGAGGAGUAAUCUGAGACCUAGAGCGGCGUACGGGUGCGUAACGCGUAUGCAACCUACCUCAUACAGGGGGAUAGCCCGGAGAAAUCUGGAUUAAUACCCCAUGGCACAGCACAAGGGCAUCUGCGAGCUGUUAAAGAUUCAUCGGUAUGAGAUGGGCAUGCGUCUGAUUAGCUAGUUGGCGGUGUAACGGACCACCAAGGCGACGAUCAGUAGGGGUUCUGAGAGGAAGGUCCCCCACACUGGCACUGAGAUACGGGCCAGACUCCUACGGGAGGCAGCAGUAGGGAAUAUUGGGCAAUGGACGAGAGUCUGACCCAGCCAUGCCGCGUGCAGGAAGACGGCGUUCUGCGUUGUAAACUGCUUUUAUCUGGGAAGAAAAAGUCCAUGCGUGGAAAAUUGCCGGUACCAGAUGAAUAAGCACCGGCUAACUCCGUGCCAGCAGCCGCGGUAAUACGGAGGGUGCAAGCGUUGUCCGGAUUUAUUGGGUUUAAAGGGUGCGUAGGCGGCUAUUUAAGUCAGCGGUGAAAGACAUCGGCUCAACCGAUGCAGUGCCAUUGAUACUGGAUAGCUUGAGUGUUGGAGGGGUACAUGGAAUUGAUGGUGUAGCGGUGAAAUGCAUAGAUACCAUCAGGAACACCGAUAGCGAAGGCAUUGUACUGGCCAACAACUGACGCUGAGGCACGAAAGCAUGGGUAGCGAACAGGAUUAGAUACCCUGGUAGUCCAUGCCGUAAACGAUGAUUACUCGCUGUUAUGCCGUAGGGUGUAGCGGCCAAGCGAAAGCGUUAAGUAAUCCACCUGGGGAGUACG